UACGUAGGGGGCUAGCGUUGUCCGGAAUCAUUGGGCGUAAAGGGCGCGUAGGCGGCCACCGCAAGUCGACUGUGAAAUCUCCGGGCUUAACCCGGAAAGGUCAGCCGAUACUGCGGGCUAGAGUGCAGAAGGGGCAACUGGAAUUCUCGGUGUAGCGGUGAAAUGCGUAGAUAUCGAGAGGAACACCUGCGGCGAAGGCGGCAUCCUGGACCGGUAUUGACGCUGAUGCGCGAAAGCCAGGGGGAGCAAACGGG
rnacentral:rRNA from 1 species